CAAUAGCGUAUAUUAAAGUUGUUGCAGUUAAAAAGCUCGUAGUUGAAUUUCUGUCAGGAGUGACCGGGCCUUUGGAUGAACUUCCAUUGUUUUUUGCUCUGUUUGUCAUCUCUAGACAUCCUGGAAUAUUUUUUAAAAAUAUUUCUCUUUUACUGUUAGCAAAAUAGAGUGUUCCAAGCAAAGCGUAGUUUUGAAUACAUUAGAAUGGAAUAAUAAGAUAGGACUUUGGUGCUAUUUUGUUGGUUUGCACACCAAGGUAAUGAUUAAUAGGGACAGUUGGGGGUAUUCGUAUUUAAUUGUCAGAGGUGAAAUUCUUGGAUUUAUGAAAGACGAACUACUGCGAAAGCAUUUACCAAGGAUGUUUUCAUUAA
rnacentral:rRNA from 1 species